rnacentral:rRNA from 1 species
UACGUAGGGGGCAAGCGUUAUCCGGAUUUACUGGGUGUAAAGGGAGCGCAGACGGCAGUGCAAGUCUGGAGUGAAAGCCCGGGGCCCAACCCCGGAACUGCUCUGGAAACUGUGCGGCUAGAGUACUGGAGGGGCAGGCGGAAUUCCUAGUGUAGCGGUGAAAUGCGUAGAUAUUAGGAGGAACACCAGUGGCGAAGGCGGCCUGCUGGACAGUAACUGACGCUGAGGUUCGAAAGCGUGGGUAGCAAACAGG